UACGAAGGGGGCUAGCGUUGUUCGGAAUCACUGGGCGUAAAGCGUGCGCAGGCGGUUGUGCAAGACAGAUGUGAAAUCCCCGGGCUUAACCUGGGAACUGCAUUUGUGACUGCACGGCUAGAGUGUGUCAGAGGGGGGUAGAAUUCCACGUGUAGCAGUGAAAUGCGUAGAUAUGCGGAGGAACACCGAUGGCGAAGGCAAUCCCCUGGGCCUGCACUGACGCUCAUGCACGAAAGCGUGGGGAGCAAACAGG
rnacentral:rRNA from 1 species